GUUGCCUCCAGUUUUUUUGUAUUCACUUAUUGCGUUACCUAGACUGUUAAAACUUCUUACUCGUGUUAGGGAAUGGUAUGGGAAUGGUUAGGGAACUGCCGCAAAGCAUUGCUUCGCAAGCGCGUAGGCUCCUACUCCGUCUCCUGUUUCCGCCUUCUCUUCCUGAGGCCGCUUCCCAUACCCUCAGCUCGGCCAACAUGAUCGGC
rnacentral:lncRNA from 1 species